GAUGAAGAACGUAGCGAAAUGCGAUAAGUAAUGUGAAUUGCAGAAUUCAGUGAAUCAUCGAAUCUUUGAACGCACAUUGCGCCCCCUGGUAUUCCGGGGGGCAUGCCUGUUCGAGCGUCAUUUCACCACUCAAGCCUCGCUUGGUAUUGGGCAACGCGGUCCGCCGCGUGCCUAAAAUCGACCGGCUGGGUCUUCUGUCCCCUAAGCGUUGUGGAAACUAUUCGCUAAAGGGUGUUCGGGAGGCUACGCCGUAAAACAACCCCAUUUCUAAGGUUGACCUCGGAUCAGGUAGGGAUACCCGCUGAACUUAAGCAUAUCAAUAAGCGGAGGA
rnacentral:misc_RNA from 1 species